GCGGAAGUGGCUCAGUGGUAGAGCAUCUCCUUGCCAAGGAGAGAGUCGCGAGUUCGAAUCUCGUCUUCCGCU
rnacentral:tRNA from 1 species